CCCCCCCCCCAUUCUUCACUUUCCCCUUUCCCUUCUUCUACCUCCGACAAAAAUCGCUCCGUUUAUGUCUCCGCUUCCUUUCCCAACAUCAUCUUUCACCCAAACCCAUCAUUCCGUCGUUCUUCACUACGCAAAAUCGACGCUUCGUUUCCUUAGCGAUGCCUCGAGAAUCAAAUCGUCGCCGAAGGAUGGUACUUAUAUAUAGCAUGCCUCAGAUUUUCAUACCCAAAUCCCUAAUUUCCAAAUCACAGCAUCGGCUAAUCCCUUGGCGGCGAUUGGUCCGUACGCUACGAAAAUCUUUCGGCGUCACUGGAGGCGAAGGUCGUCGGCGUCAUCGGCGAAGGCUAAUUAUCACUAUUUUGCUAUCAUCGAUCAGGUAUUAGCCAGCAUUUUGUUAUUUUUUUAGGUUUUAUUUAUUAACAAAAUGCUAAUGAAAUUAAGAGAGCCAUAAUUCUGUUUUAGACCCUCCUAAAAAAAUAACAAAAUGCUGAUUAGCUGCGUAGUUCUAAUGACAUGCUAAUGAAAUUAAGAGAGCCAUAAUUCUGUUUUAGACCCUCCUAAGAAGUUUUGUUUUAAAAAUCAGCAUUUUGUUAUUUUGUUAGGUUUUAUUUAUUAAAAGAAGAGUAAUCCAUCGUUUAAAGUAGCUUUCAAUAAUUCUUAAUUUUAUCUGGAACUACCUACCUUCAGUAAGUCUCUCACUCAUUUCUUUCAUUAAUUAGGAGUACCAUGUUGAGGUUGUUUAUCAAGCAUAUUUUACUCUUCCCUUGUGUUUAAUAAUUUUCUAAGUAUUCCUUGAAACUUAUAUUUUACUCCAGACUAACUAUCACCAACAUGAACACGAAGUGGCUGAUAUAUAUUGGAAGUUCUUAUCUACGAAUUUAUUCAUAUGCAUGUGUUAUAUGUCUUGUGUUUAUGUAUCUGAGUACAUGUUUGUAUGGAUGCAUUUUGUAAUGUAUGCAUGCAUAUAUCUAUAUACAUAUGUACUUAUGCAUGCAUCUGUAUGAAUGUAUGUUGUACAUGUACAUAUUCAUAUAGCUUAUUCUUUUCCUUUCCCAUUUAGUUGGCUUAUCCUUGAUAUGAGAAAAUCUGGAGUUAGCAGUUUGUCUGGCAGGUUGGAACUUUGCUAUUUGUUAGGUGCUGUGGUUCAAAUUGUGUAAAUUAAUCAUAAACCAUUCUGAUGGCCUACUUAAAUACAUGUUUUGGGAGCAUGAGUAUAUGCAUGUAGGUACCUUUGAACAUAGUAUUUACAUGCAUAUAUGUAUGUUCCUGUGAGUAUACAUGUUGUAUGCAUGUAAUUUUUUUAUUCAUGCAUGCCUAUAUAUAUUUUUUAUUCAUGUAUGUAAUUUUUUUUAUUCAUGCAUGCCUAUAUAUAUUUUCAUAUAUAUAAUUUUUUUAUUCUUUCACGCAUCUAUAUAUUUUUUUAAGUGGUUCAUACCUAUGAAAUUUAUGCUACUUCCUUAGUGAUCCAGUUAUUUCGGUGGGAGAUUCAUUUUGGGCUUGAAACGGGAGAAACCUAUGCUCCUACUCCAUUUCCGUAUAUAUCAACAUAACAUUGUGAUGAUCAAGGCACCACAUAGAUGUGCGUGAGAAGUAAAGCAGUUUAUGGUUAUGUCUUGCAGGUUGAAGGUUGAUAAUAAUAGUUCAAUGUGAUAGAAUACUUCUCAUUGAAGUUUUAUCUAAAUCUUACUUUAGUGAUGACUUUUGGAGAUCUUUUUAGGGUAAAGUUAAAAGCAUCUGAACUAUGAAAUCAAUUCCUAAUCAAACUUAAUAAGCUGAUUGUUGACACCAUUUGACAUGCAAAGAAGUCAGUACUAAAAAUAGUUAUUCACUUUAGCAAAUUUUGGGCAUAUCAACAUGUAAGAAAAAGGGUAAAUUAUCAAACUUGAUGGUGUUUUAGUAUACCGUGUAGAGCUAAACCAGAUAGAUCGGUCAACCUAUCUGGUUCAUUUUGGAAAUGUAUUGUAUUUGACUUGGUACUCUACCUGCAUUUGACUUAUAUAAAUAUCAUUUCAAAUAAAUAACCUUGUCCAUCUCCCUGAGUCAACCUAUCUGAAUAGGAUUUUACUCUGCAACCAUGAGAUUUGUGUCCAUAUAGGCACAAAUUUGCCUAUAUAAUACAAGGAUUCUUUCUCCACUAUGUUAUGGUACCUGACACCCUAAAUACAGGACAAAUAUUACAAAAGUAUUGUGAUAAAAAAGCAUUAAAUGAUUAAUAUAUGUGUUAUAUGUUGUAUCUUCCAAGCUUCUUACUUUAAGCAUUGUGAAGUACCUUCAGAUUGUUGAGUUUCCUGAACAAGAAAUUUUUAUCUUCAAAGAUUACAGCAGGUUGUCAGAUUCAGUUGUUUAGCUUCAAAGGUAUGAUUUUACAUGUUAUAAUCUUUUAAUUGCAAUUUUCAUUCAAUGUAACAGAAGCUUCAUAAUAUUAUAAAUUUUUAAAACUUUAUAUAUUUUGAAAUUGCUGAUUCUAUUAGUCGCACGACUAUGAAACAAAGGUAUUAGCCAAUGUUACCAUUUUAAUUUUUGUUUUCUAAAUUUUCAUAUGCAUCACACAAGAUCCUAAUUUGGUUGUAAAGAAUCAAAACGACUAUAAGCAAGAGUAGUCGUCAGCAAUGAUGGAAUAUUGGUUGCGGGUUGUUCUUGCUGUAUUCUGGUUUUUUUCCUAUAUGUGUUGGAAGACUUUGCAAUUUUAAUAAUAUUACUUGAAGCCAGUUAGCAUGUAAAUAAAAUGAUACUGAGAGAAUAUUGUCAAUGACCCAUUAACAAUUCCUUGCAGCUUCUCAUUAUCGUUUUGACACUGUUCAUCAGUCAAUUCCAACAAUUUCUCCAAGGAGUAUGAAUCAAAUAAAUUUAAUUAAUUAAUUGAAAUAUGGUUUUAUUUCUUAAUGAAAAACUUAACCAUAGAUUAAUUAGAGACAUAGCUAUCUUAAUUACUCAAAUUUUAUUGAGUAGAUUAUUGAUCAUAUGUUGUCUUAGGAUUCUAAUCACAAAUACUAACAUAUAUUUUUUUUAUUUUUUUAGUGAUGGCGAUUGUGAAACGAACAGCAAGAAAAAGAACAUUAUCAUUCUGGAGAAGGGAUGAUCAUCAAAUUAGGCUCGCAUUCCCCUAUCGCAAACCUACCAAGCUAGAGUAUAUGACACAUAAGUUCAAAAGAAAUGAGACAACAGAUGAACACAUUUCAAAUAUGCGAAAUAUAUUAUUUAAUAUGGAAGUUCAAUGUGAGCCUGCAUUGAGUGAAAAAGAAAAAAUAGAUGGACUGGUCAAUUCCUUGCCGGAUGAGUUUGGCUUUAUUAAGUAUAGAUUGCUUAAUAAUUCUACUUUUGAUGAUGUUGUUCUCGAAAUGAGACUUAUUAACUUCGACUGGAAUUUUAAACGACAAUGUAGACGCACUGCAAUUUUGUAUUAUUUUACUACAUCAAUUAUUGUAUAUUAGACAAAUCUGUGCAUCGCACGGGCUUGAAACUAGUUUUAAUAUUAAAACUCAACUUUUUAGUC